CCUACGGGAGGCAGCAGUGGGGAAUUUUGGACAAUGGGGGCAACCCUGAUCCAGCCAUGCCGCGUGUGUGAAGAAGGCCCUCGGGUUGUAAAGCACUUUCAGUGAGGAAGAACGCCUGGUGGUUAAUACCCAUCAGGAAAGACAUCACUCACAGAAGAAGCACCGGCUAACUCCGUGCCAGCAGCCGCGGUAAUACGGAGGGUGCGAGCGUUAAUCGGAAUUACUGGGCGUAAAGCGCGCGUAGGUGGCUUGAUAAGCCGGUUGUGAAAGCCCCGGGCUCAACCUGGGAACGGCAUCCGGAACUGUCAAGCUAGAGUGCAGGAGAGGAAGGUAGAAUUCCCGGUGUAGCGGUGAAAGGCGUAGAGAUCGGGAGGAAUACCAGUGGCGAAGGCGGCCUUCUGGACUGACACUGACACUGAGGUGCGAAAGCGUGGGUAGCAAACAGGAUUAGAUACCCGUGUAGUC
rnacentral:rRNA from 1 species